UACGAAGGGGGCUAGCGUUGCUCGGAAUCACUGGGCGUAAAGGGUGCGUAGGCGGGUCUUUAAGUCAGGGGUGAAAUCCUGGAGCUCAACUCCAGAACUGCCUUUGAUACUGAAGAUCUUGAGUUUGGGAGAGGGAUGCGGAAUUCCAGGUGUAGCGGUGAAAUGCGUAGAUAUCUGGAGGAACACCGGUGGCGAAGGCGGCAUCCUGGACCAACACUGACGCUGAGGAGCGAAAGCCAGGGGAGCAAACGGG
rnacentral:rRNA from 1 species